rnacentral:rRNA from 1 species
AGCAGCCGCGGUAAUUCCAGCUCCAAUAGCGUAUAUUAAAGUUGUUGCAGUUAAAAAGCUCGUAGUUGAAUUUCGGGAUCAAAGAAUCGGUCAUGCCUUGGUAUGUACUGGUUUUAUUGGUUCUCACCUUCUAAAGAACCAUGAUGUCAUUCAUUUGAUGUUAUGGGGAAUUAGGACUGUUACCUUGAAAAAAUUAGAGUGUUUAAAGCAAGCUUACGCUUGAAUACAUUAGCAUGGAAUAAUGAAAUAGGACAUCAGAUUCUAUUUUGUUGGUUUCUAGGAUCGAUGUAAUGAUUAAUAGGGAUAGUUGGGGGCAUUAGUAUUCAAUUGUCAGAGGUGAAAUUCUUGGAUUUAUUGAAGACUAACUACUGCGAAAGCAUUUGCCAAGGAUGUUUUCAUUAAUCAAGAACGAAAGUUAGGGGAUCGAAGACGAUCAGAUACCGUCGUAGUCUUAACCAUAAACUAUGCCGACUAGGGAUCGGAUGAUGUUAAUUUUUUAAUGACUCA